UAAUUAUUUUACUUUCAGAGCAAACAAAAGAGAAAUCAACAUUUCUUUGUUUGCUGGUGUCUGGAUGUUUUUCCCCGGGAAUAUCUGUAAGCAGCAUGUUGCCAUUACUAACCCACAGGGAAAAUGGAUUAGUAAAAAGCUUAGGACAAUUAACAGGAAAAUUGCAUUAAGGUUAAUCCCUUGGAUAUGGUGCCAUGGUUAAAUCACCCACAGAUUUGUUAUUCAUAAAUGUAUUUAUCUUAAAUAUUUAAAAUGGGCAUUUAAGAGGAAUUUAAUAUACAGUUUGUUUAAGGUCCACAUGUUUUUUAAAACAUUAAUUACUUAUAUCCUUAUUUAUACAGAAUUUUUGGUUCAGUUUAGUUACCUCAACUUUGUUUUCCCUGUGCUUAUAACAAGUUUUAAGAAAGAUGAGUUUUAAACCUUUUGUUUCCUGACUGAAUACCUUAACAUUUUCCCCGCAUAUAUACAUGAAUACACACACGCCAUACACACACACAAAAUUGACAUUGUUUACCUUUUGUUUAUUUCUAGGAAUCAAGACUAUUUGGACUCAGUGUCAGCCACUACUAAUAUUCAUACCAUCUUUCUCCUCAUUUAAAGGGCUACUGGGAAGUUAAAUAUUUGCAUCUGUGGCCUGCAUUUGUGGCUGUUGUGUUUCUAUUGGACAGCACUGUAUUAGAGGAACCAGUGGCUGUGGGCUAGAAAGAUAUUCUUCAGUGAAGAAACUCCCAACAGGUUCCAUCAAACUGAUACAACUUCAGGGGGGCCACCCUCUGCAGAUGGCAGUGAAUUUGUACCUGUUUGUGGUACAGGCACUACCACAGCAUCUUUGAUGUCUGUGUUUACAUUGCAUGAGAAGUUCUUCUCCAGUUUUUUGGCAGUGUCUGGGCAAUUUUGUACAAAGAUCACACGGUUGUAGGCCUUCAGCCUGCGCCACAACUGAACGUAGACUUUACACUGUACGUACAUGAAGACAAGACCUCCUGUGAAGCCAAUGGCUACCACAACCAGUUUUGUCCAAAAUGGCCAUUCAAGGACACCUUUGAAAUGAAAAAGAGAAAAUGUUAUCACCAACUUGUCCUCAGUGGAUUUGGUCAUUUUUUUUUUCUAUGCCCCUUCAAAAGCCCGUGCUUGCCUUCUAGAUUAUGUAUGUUAACAGAAAUAUAUUCUUCAUAACUAGAAAGAAUUAUAACCCGAAUUGGCGUAAUUCCUUUUGAGUAUCCUACAUGUACUGUCAAAAUUGUAUAUCAGGACAUUUUCUCACCUAUCACUGUCAAAUCUCUUAUUUCUCCUAGCAUCAAGUACCUAUCAUAAUUAUGAGAUAUUAUGUUAGAUUUUGGACAUUUGGACACUGACAUUUAUCCCUUAUAGCUAGACUUUUAAGGAAGGAUGGUGAACAUAAUGGAAGAAUCAGAGUUUAAAAUCCUUCUAAGAAGAUGAGGUAUAGGUACAUGUAUGGGUUUGUAUGUACAGGUCUUCCCACCCUCAUUUAUUUUAAAAUGUAAAAGGAAGGAAUGGAAGAAGGGAGAUGGGGAGGAGUAAGAGGGAGGGGAAGGAAAAAGCUGCCACAUCUCACCAGAGAGAGAAUUCCUGAGUACAAACAUGCAAAAGAUUUAGGAUUUUAGCCAUUUGUUUCAUAAAUCAUAUUUUGUCAUUGAGAACCAUCACACUUUUAUAGAUGUCUAUAUUUUCUCUUAAUUUCCAUCACCAUUACUAGAAAUAGGCUUUCUUUUGUAAAUAUAGUUUUAAAAAUUAUUUCACAGGCAUUUCAGUGACUACAACAGUGAGUAUUUAGGCAAUACAUAAUUAUGAAUGUUAAAUAUAUGAGGGUCAAGAGUGUUAAAUAUAUGAGGGUCAAGUGGGCCUCUUGCCCACAUUAGGAUGGUGUGGGGGACAAUAGCUGUCUUCCCGUAAGUGAAAAGUUGUGAAGUAGAAAAAUAUAGCUCAGUAUGGCUCAAUACGGUGCACCAGGAAGGGAUGGUAGAAAUGUGUAAAAACCAUGGUAAUUGAGAGUCUAUGAUUUGACUUUGGAUUUUUAUUUACUUACUUACAACAGUGAAUAGAGUUAUAAGAAUUAUCCUAUCUAUAUUUUGUAGUAGUGACAUUUGCUUUAUGCUUCUGGAAGCAAAGCAGAAGUCAUGCCCUGUUUCCAUCAUGAUGAAGCACCUUGUACCCUAAGAUUAACCAAAAAUAACAGCGUUACCCUGUCAAUUUCUGGUCCCAAAAUAAUGAAACAUUGAGUAUUUCUUAUAUUCCCAGAUCCCCAGCAAACACCAUUUUAUUCUUGACUUUUAUUUAGCUCAUGUUGCAAGAUCUUUCUGAAUAUGAUCAUCAUGUGAUAAGAUUUUGUUUUUUCUCCAUGAACAAAUUAAUGCAAACUUAGUAAUCAUGGUAAUCUUCUUUAUAUUUUUCUUUAAAUACCUGUUAUGUUUUUCACUUGCUUAUCCAGUUUUUCUGAAGUCUGACUCCCUUGAGCCUUUGCAAGUAAACUCUUUUUCUUUUCAAAAUGCUUUGGCUCUGACUCUUCCUUUGAAAUUUUUGGGGAAAAAAAUGUUCUCUGAUCUUAAAAGGGAUUGUAAGAAAACAUGAAAAGCCUCUCACUGUUGUUGGUGUUUCAUUAAUUUGUUGCUCUGUUUGGCACUGUCAAUUUAAAAUAAAUUUCUAUGCCUCUUUCAG